AGGGGUGUGGCAACAUGCAAUGGUUCUAUUUUCUCAGAUGUGCAGUGCAACUGUUUGGAAAAACUAACUGACACGAAGGAAUGUGUGGAACCAAAAUCAAAUAGAAUAGAGGCAUCAAUCAAAUUAACUGGCAGUGUACCUGUCACCACUUGGUCGCUCGCACUGGCGUCCUGGCGAGUCAGUGCGAAUACUCGGGGGGUGUUACUUGGCUUCUGGCCCUCGGUUGCAGGAGGUCUGGGUGCCCUCUUUGGGCAGUCAUGUGCCAUAUGUCCGAGUUGCCCGCAUGUAAAACAAGCCCCAAUUUUCUUCAGACAGGGCCCACUGUGAUGCUUGCCGCAGCUAGGGCAACCUCGGUUCUG
rnacentral:lncRNA from 1 species